UACGUAGGGUCCGAGCGUUGUCCGGAAUUACUGGGCGUAAAGAGCUCGUAGGUGGUUUGUCGCGUUGUUCGUGAAAACUCACAGCUUAACUGUGGGCGUGCGGGCGAUACGGGCAGACUUGAGUACUGCAGGGGAGACUGGAAUUCCUGGUGUAGCGGUGGAAUGCGCAGAUAUCGGGAGGAACACCAGUAGCGAAGGCGGCACUCUGGGCCGGUACUGACGCUGAGGAGCGAAAGCGUGGGGAGCGAACAGG
rnacentral:rRNA from 1 species